AUUAGGUUGGUGCAAAAGUAAUUGCAGUUCUUGGGGAUACUUUUAAUGGUAAAGACUUCAAUUACUUUUGCACCAACCCAAUACUUUA
rnacentral:miRNA from 1 species